rnacentral:misc_RNA from 1 species
GAGUUAUGGGUUGUUGCCAAUCUUCCUUCUUGAGAGUAUCCGUCUCCCAGGAAAAGGCCUCUAACGACAACAACUAUCUUCAUCAGUCGCAGAAUCACCACCCUUCUCACCCGGCCAACGGUACCGACCCUGCCUCCGCUGCUUCCGGAGGUUUUUGUGGUUUCACCGAGUUUUCCCUCGCUGACCUAAAAGCUGCCACCAAUAGCUUUAGCCCCGAGUUCAUCGUUUCAGAAAGCGGUGAGAAGGCUCCCAAUGUCGUCUAUAAA